ensembl:lncRNA
CUCCACUCUCAGUCUCACCACGACCACCAUCUCAUUUUGUGAUCAUGAUGAAAUCUGAAUUAAGAUAUCCUUUGGGUAAUGAUGAUGCAGUUUAGCAAACCCUGUGUGGUGCUGAGUUUUUCAAAAUUGCAACUCUCUUCUAUUUCUUCUGCCCUGCAUCUGUUAAAAUCAUUGCCAGUAUCAUUUUUGACAGCUUGGAGCUGUAUCUGAACACCUGUUAUUCAAACCCCAAAGAAACUGUCAGAAACGAGAAGCAUCGUUUAAAUAAAUACAGAUGACAACAACAGUGUGGAAAAGAAGCAUAAACAGAAUUUGUUACGCUUUUAUUUUCUAGAAUGCUACAACUGAGAAAUUCCUGCAAGGAAAAGCAGGUCUGGGCAGCCACCACAGGUGCUUCAUUAAUCUGUUGCAACUGACACUUACAGAUUGACGCUUAACGUACUGCCAUGAGUGGAUGAUUACAAUCCCCAUACCCUGAAGGGCAUUUUCAUGUUACUUCUUUAUGAAUAAUCAAGAAUGGAAAAGAUGUAAAGAUUGGACUCUGAAGUAAACAGAAAGCUUACUCAACUCAUACCACGACACUCAUUAGGACAGACAGGGUGAUGCUGAAGAGGAGGUGCCACCAGGGCUGGCAUGCAUGCUGCAGGCUGCUGAGGAGGGCAGGAGUGAAUGGUACUGGUGCCAUGUCUGCUGGCCACGUCUACAUCUCGAGAGGUGGAAGGCAGUGUGGAGCACGGAGCUCAGCAGAAACCUGACCGAGUUUUGCCUGUGGUCUUUUUUUUUAAUAGGUCUGCUUCAGACUUAUACAGAUUUCACUGUAAUUGCUAGUCAUGACAGUCUUCAAAUGCUGAAGGUGAUCAAAGGCAUCAGCUUAAAAAUACAAAGCUGGCAUUACAAGGAAGUGAUUUAACCUCUCUCGGUAGGCAGGUGUGUGUUGGGAGCAGAGAGGGGUUCAUUGCUUCAGGCAUCUAAAUUGCAGCUGUAGUGAAAAGCAGCAAUUUGUCUAAAUCCAUGACAAAAAUC